CACUCAGCAUUGGCUCUGGAACAUUCACACCUGCACGGCCUGGAGCCUGCUCCCUUCCCAGAGGGAGGGGUCCACGGGGUCCACGAGCUGUGUCCUCUGCUGCCCCUGAACUGUCUCACUCCCUCGGGGACCAGGCCGCCGAGGACCACACUUCCCACCGGACAGCAGGUCACUCUUCUGAAUUCUAGGAGGCCUCCCUCCCAUCCCCCAUCGCCACUUCUGGGGUUUUCUUUGUGGUGCGCACAUGACGCAUCGCCCCCGCGUCCUUCCAGGAAGGACUUUGGCCCAGUUCUUGAAGUGGACACCUCCAGCUGUCAGAGGGCCCAGCCAUGGCCCCUGGCCCCGCGUCCUGGCCUUUGAGUGGUGGCCUGCCUCCCAAGGCUGAUGGAUGCGAGAGCAAGGGGCCUGCCAUUUGGGCCUCACACGGACGCCUCUGGUGAGCCAUUCUGACCGCGCAGCUCUCGCCGUGUGCUGAGCUGGCCUUGGCACCCUGCUUCCUCUCUUUCCUCCACGGGGCCGUCAAGACACCUUGUCUACCACUGCCUCCGAGUCGCCGUCUUGGAGACCCCAGCCCAGGAGCUUUAGUCGGGAACUGUCUGAUGGGCUUGGGUAGGCUCGCUCACUGCCUGGCCGGCACUGCCUGAGCGUGGGGCACUGCUGCACGUGGGGCACAGACAGGCCCGGGCAUGAGGCUGGGGUCCCGGGGGGAAGACAUUCAUCGGUGGUGAGCAGGGAUCCCACAGGAUGGGGACGCACCGACGGGCCCGCUGGACCAGGUGUUCGGAAUGCGAGGGAGCCACUGUCACGGCAGAGCUGAUGGGCGGGUGUGGCUCAGCUCUGUUGAAAGGCCGAAGAAAGGACGGUGGGCGCCUGGGAGCUGUUAUCCAGCCACUGGAGGCCACGGCCCUUGGGCCGCAAAUACUGGGGGAGGCCCCGCCUCUGCAGCCGAGCGCAGAAAGCAGCGAGGGUCAGGACAUGGACGUGACCGUCAGCGGGGCCGAGCUCCAAAGGAGCGUCGGCGGAUGUCCGCCUCCAGCACAGAGGCAGUUACAGGAACGCGAGUUACCAGCCUAUCGAAACAGCUCAAGCACUGGAGGAAAUCAGCAAGCAGUGGCUCUCAAGACACUGCACGUCAGUCGAUGACGGACAGUGACAUCUGAGAGUGACAAGCAAGAGGUUCCCAGGCUAGACCUCUAAUCGGAGCUACAGCUGCUGGCCUACCCCACAGCCACAGCAACGAGAGAUCCGAGCUGCGUCUGCGACCUACACCACAGCUCCACGGUAACGCCGGAUCCUUAACCCACUGAGCAAGGCCGGGGAUCGAACCUGCAUCCUCAUGGAUGGUAGUCAGAUUCGUUAACUGCUGAGCCACGAAGGGAACUCUGACAUAGUUUUAAAGGCGUCGGAUCGGCUUGGAUGAAGAGACAAAUGUGAAGCAGGUCAAGAACACGGGCCCUGGAGGUCCCGUCGAGGCGCCGCGGAAACAGGCCGACUAGGAACCAGGAGGCUGCGCUUAACCUGCUGCACCACCAGGGAGGUCCUUUUAUUUCUCCGGAUCAGGUGGAUCUGUUAUGUUUCCUAGUCUGGGAGAAGCGGUUUUUGUAGCAGACCCCCCAUGCGACGCAGCAGCACCCUCCCUCUGGUCACCAGAGCUGUAUGCUCCAGCGUGCCCUCUGUGUGGGCUGCCAGGGUCCUUCUGCGCUGCCAGGGCCUGCCACUGUGGGCGCGCGGGUAGCGGGCUGGCCCCUGGCCGGUUGGGCUUUUGCAGACCUGGAUCACGCAGAGGGUCGCCCCCUGGGCGGGGUCUUGACUCUGGUCUCCGCCCCUCCUGCCCAUCUGGUGUGGCUCCCUCUUCCUCACUUUCGCUUUCGUUGGGAAGAGCCUUUCUGCUGCUCAUUCCCUGUAAAUAGCUGCAAUGUUGGUCCCUGUGGGAGGAGGUGGGCUCAGGGUCCCCCUGCUCCACCCCCUUGGCCUACACAUAACAAUGUGGCCUUGGCCAGGAAUUAGUCGCCAGACCACCUGGCUCUCUGGACCAGGGUCUGGAAAAUGCAGUCUUUAUUGGGUGGGUUUAUAUGCCAGCUAAACAUGGGGGGGGGCCUUUUCUGAGGAACAAAUGGAAGAUGGGCAGGGGGGCGUGCUCCCCAUUCUGACGGUGUCCCCAGUCGUCUUCUCUGCUGCCAGCCAAGACUGUUUUUCUUGCAAAUGUCCCUUGUCACCUGCUUCAUAAUAAAUAGCUCUCUGUGAGGCUAUUCCCACCUGCACAGUA
rnacentral:lncRNA from 1 species